AUUGAACGCUGGCGGCAGGCCUAACACAUGCAAGUCGAACGAGUGGCGGACGGGUGAGUAAUGUCUGGGAAACUGCCUGAUGGAGGGGGAUAACUACUGGAAACGGUAGCUAAUACCGCAUACCAUCAGAUGUGCCCAGAUGGGAUUAGCUAGUUGGUGGGGUAACGGCUCACCAAGGCGACGAUCCCUAGCUGGUCUGAGAGGAUGACGAGCCACACUGGAACGGAGAAAGGGUCCAGACUCCUACGGAAGGCAGCAGUGGGGAAUAUUGGACAAUGGGCGAAAGCCGGAUGCAGCCAUGCGGCGUGUAUGAAGAAGGCCUUCGGGUUGUAAAGUACUUUCAGCGGGGAGGCGUUACCCGAAGAAGAAGCACCGGCUAACUCCGUGCCAGCAGCCGCGGUAAUAC
rnacentral:rRNA from 1 species